UGGGGAAUAUUGGACAAUGGGCGAAAGCCUGAUCCAGCCAUGCCGCGUGUGUGAAGAAGGUCUUCGGAUUGUAAAGCACUUUAAGUUGGGAGGAAGGGCAGUAAGCGAAUACCUUGCUGUUUUGACGUUACCGACAGAAUAAGCACCGGCUAACUCUGUGCCAGCAGCCGCGGUAAUACAGAGGGUGCAAGCGUUAAUCGGAAUUACUGGGCGUAAAGCGCGCGUAGGUGGUUCGUUAAGUUGAAUGUGAAAGCCCCGGGCUCAACCUGGGAACUGCAUCCAAAACUGGCGAGCUAGAGUAGGGCAGAGGGUGGUGGAAUUUCCUGUGUAGCGGUGAAAUGCGUAGAUAUAGGAAGGAACACCAGUGGCGAAGGCAACCACCUGGGCUCAUACUGACACUGAGGUGCGAAAGCGUGGGGAGCAAACAGG
rnacentral:rRNA from 1 species